UACGUAGGGUGCGAGCGUUGUCCGGAAUUAUUGGGCGUAAAGGGCUCGUAGGCGGUCUGUUGCGUCGGGAGUGAAAACUCAGGGCUUAACCCUGAGCCUGCUUCCGAUACGGGCAGACUAGAGGUAUGCAGGGGAGAACGGAAUUCCUGGUGUAGCGGUGAAAUGCGCAGAUAUCAGGAGGAACACCGGUGGCGAAGGCGGUUCUCUGGGCAUUACCUGACGCUGAGGUGCGAAAGCGUGGGGAGCGAACGGG
rnacentral:rRNA from 1 species